CCUCUCAACAUUUAACACAGAAAAAAAGUUCAGUUGCAACAUCAGAAAGUACUGUUCAAAGAACAGAACUUGAAACAAAUGCUGCAGUAGUUGCUGGUCAAAGUAAUGAGACAAAAGAGAAUUGUGAAAAGUCUAAAACUCCAAAUAGAAGAAAUUCAAGAACAGAGGAUUCUGCCGCUUCACAGGAAACUGUAGAGAACGGACAGCGCAAGAGAUCCUCCAGACCAGCAUCUGCAUCCAGCACUGCAAAAGAAACGAGUGCCAGUGCAAUGCAGUCAAAAAGAAGAAAAUCCAAGUAAAUUACUGCAUGGAAACAUGAAACUUGUAAAUGAGUGUGAAUUUACCAAUAGCGAUUUUGAGCUGUGAUUUUUCUUUUUUAAAUAAAAUUCUGUACAGUAAGUCAUUUUAAUAUUAUACUGUUCCCAAUAAAUGAUUUUUUUUUUUUUCUAAAAAACAGAUAAAUAGAUAUAAAAACUGAGUUCUCCUAAAACCCCCUGGAUUUACCAAGUGAAGUCCAGGGUUAGCACAUUAGGUUAAUGCGUUUGUAUGAACCGGACGGGGAGGGGAAGACAACUGUAAAUUUAUUUGUUUCCACUUUUCAUAAACAAAUUAGAAUACAGGGUUGUCAUUUUUAG